AUCAAUUUAAAUAUAAUUAUAAUAAUAUAUUUCAUCUUAUAUCUUAUUUUCGAUUAAAAAUGGGUGGAGGAGAUUUGAAUUUAAAAAAAUCAUGGCAUCCAUCUACUAUGAAAAACAUAGAAAAAGUUUGGAAAGCAGAACAACAACAAUGUCAAGAAAAGAAAAAAAUAGCUGAAUUAAAAAAAGAAAUAGAAAUAGAAAAAGAUCGAGAAGAUAUAAAAAAAUAUGCAAUGGAACAAGGUGUGAUUGAAAAAAAAGAUGACAAAAAAUUGGAUUGGAUGUAUAAAGGACCAAAUCAUUUAAUUAAUANNNAAGAAUAUUUACUUGGACGACCAAUUGAUAAAUCUUUUGAACAAAUGGUUCAAGUAGAAAAGGGUACUGAAUUAAAUCAAGUACCAAGAAAUCAUGUUGAACAUGAAUGUAUUCCACCGUCAUUACGUUUUUUUUCUGGUAAUGAACAAGUGGAUUUAGUAAGAAAAAUGCAAGAAGAUCCUUUAUAUGCUAUUAAAAAAAAAGAAAUGGAAACAAGAAAUCAAUUAUUAAAAAAUCCUGUUAAAUUAAAACAAUUAAGACAAUUGUUGGAACAGCAAACAAAAAAGGAUAAAAGUGAAAAGAAAAAGAAGAAAAAAAGAAAUAAACAAGAUAUAGAUAGUGAUGAUGAAGCACAAUUAGAUCUAUUAUUGGCUACUAAAUAUAAACAAUUAAAAGAAAAAAUUAAUAAUAAAGAUUUAAUAAAAUCAAUGAAAAAGGUAAAACAUAAACAAAACAAAAAUUUAAAAGAAGAGAAUGAUAAUUUAAGUAGCAGAUCAGAAAGUAGUGAAAAAAGUGAAAAUAAUAAACAUAUAAAAAAAUAUAAAAAAAAAAGAAAUAAAAGUAAAGAGAUAAAUGUUCAAAUUACAAAAUAUAAUAAGGAAAAACAAUCUAUAUAUGAUAAAAAAGAAAAAGAAUAUAAAUUACAUGAAAAAUAUAUUAGGACUCGUAGUUUAAGCAGAGAAAGUGAUAAUAGUUCAAUUCAAGAAAGAAAAGAUAAAUUAUAUAAAAAAGACAUAACUAAACAUAAAGACAAAAAAAUUCGUUUAAAAAGUCCUCAAGAUAGAAAAAAUAAUUUUUUUAAGAAUAAAUAUAAUAAUAAAAAUAAUAUUGAGGAUAAAGAUAAAAAUAUUUCAAAGAAAUUACAUCAAAAAGAAACAUAUUUUAAAUUAUCUUCUGAUGGAACUAAAAAGUAUUACAAAGAAGACAGAAAUAGAGAUAAAUGGAAUUUUAAGAAGAAACAAAAUCUUACAGAAGAAGAAAAAGAACAACGUAGGCAAGAAAUGAUAGCAAAUGCAACAUGGAGAGAUAAAGAAAGAGAACAAAAUGUUAAAAAAUAUCGCGAAGAAGAAAAAAAAGAAAUAGAUAAUAGAAAAGUAUAUAAUCAAGAUUUUCUUAGAAAACAAUUAGCAGUUGCUGCAGAUAUAGGUACAGUUGCCUCUAGAAUUAAAGCUAAUAUAAAUAAUAUACAGCGAUCUGGAGGAGCUAUGGAUAUAAAUUUCGCUAGAAGGUGAUUUUAAAUGAUCUAAAUUUAUACAAUUAUGUAAAUUUCAUCAAAUUAUUUCUAGAAUUAUAAAUGUAAUCUAUAAAAAUAUAUAUAUCUUUUAAUAUA